rnacentral:rRNA from 1 species
CUGGUUGAUCCUGCCAGUAGUCAUAUGCUUGUCUCAAAGAUUAAGCCAUGCAUGUCUAAGUAUAAGCAAUCUAUACAGUGAAACUGCGAAUGGCUCAUUAAAUCAGUUAUCGUUUAUUUGAUAGUACCUUACUACUUGGAUAACCGUGGUAAUUCUAGAGCUAAUACAUGCUAAAAAUCCCGACCUCUGGAAGGGAUGUAUUUAUUAGAUAAAAAACCAAUGCCUUCGGGCUCCUUGGUGAUUCAUGAUAACUUUACGAAUCGCAUGGCCUUGUGCCGGCGAUGGUUCAUUCAAAUUUCUGCCCUAUCAACUUUCGAUGGUAGGAUAGUGGCCUACCAUGGUUUCAACGGGUAACGGGGAAUUAGGGUUCUAUUCCGGAGAGGGAGCCUGAGAAACGGCUACCACAUCCAAGGAAGGCAGCAGGCGCGCAAAUUACCCAAUCCCGACACGGGGAGGUAGAGACAAUAAAUACUGAUACAGGGCCCUUUCGGGUCUUGUAAUCGGAAUGAGUACAAUUUAAAUCCCUUAACGAGGAACAAUUGGAGGGCAAGUCUGG